rnacentral:lncRNA from 1 species
GUUUUUUAGUUUGUUGUGGAACUAGACUAGAAAUUACCUAAUAAGCUUCUUAUAACUUGUGUAAUGUGUUUCUUUUACGAAUUUGUAUAUUGGUUUAAUCAUAUCAUGCUAUUCCUACAAUAUUAUAACUAACACUGAAGCUUGAGUCUCAAGUCACGAAAAAGGGCUAACUCUCACGUGUUGGCGGAAAGUUACCAAAAUAUGUUAAGGACUUAAUUCAGAGAUAAUGUUGCUAAACGAUUUACAGUCGAUAAUCUUUCAAAAGCAGAAAAACUCAGUGUCAAACAAAGAAUACGCGAAUUAUUUGAGAUAUGAUUGAAAUUUGCAAAGAAAGUAAAAAUCAAACUAGUUUCAUUCUAAGUUAUUGUAUAUAAUUUUAAAAUUUUGGAAUAGAAGUGAUGCAAUGUUUAUUUA